GAUGAACGCUGGCGGCGUGCCUAAUACAUGCAAGUCGAGCGAAGCGGGGACGGGUGAGAAACACGUGGAUAACCUCCUAUAAGACUGGGGUAACUUCGGGAAACCGGUGCUAAACCGGCUACUUAUCGAUGGAUCCGCGUGGCAUUAGCUAGUUGGUAAGGUAACGGCUUACCAAGGCAACGAUGCAUAGCGGACCUGAGAGGGUGACCGGCCACACUGGAACUGAGACACGGUCCAGACUCCUACGGGAGGCAGCAGUAGGGAAUAUUCCACAAUGGGCGAAAGCCUGACAGAGCAACGCCGCGUGAGUGAUGAAGGUCUUCGGAUCGUAAAACACUGUUAUUAGGGAAGCGGUACCUAAACAGAAAGCCACGGCUAACUACGUGCCAGCAGCCGCGGUAAUUC
rnacentral:rRNA from 1 species